rnacentral:rRNA from 1 species
GAUGAACGCUGGCGGCGUGCCUAACACAUGCAAGUCGAACGAAGCGCCUGGCCCCGACUUCUUCGGAACGAGGAGCCUUGCGACUGAGUGGCGGACGGGUGAGUAACGCGUGGGCAACCUGCCUUGCACUGGGGGAUAACAGCCAGAAAUGGCUGCUAAUACCGCAUAAGACCGAAGCGCCGCAUGGCGCAGCGGCCAAAGCCCCGGCGGUGCAAGAUGGGCCCGCGUCUGAUUAGGUAGUUGGCGGGGUAACGGCCCACCAAGCCGACGAUCAGUAGCCGACCUGAGAGGGUGACCGGCCACAUUGGGACUGAGACACGGCCCAGACUCCUACGGGAGGCAGCAGUGGGGAAUAUUGCACAAUGGGGGAAACCCUGAUGCAGCGACGCCGCGUGAAGGAUGAAGUAUUUCGGUAUGUAAACUUCUAUCAGCAGGGAAGAAGAUGACGG